AGGAGGAGGAGGAAGGCUCGGAGUUGCUGUGGCAACGGGCGGCCGCGGCUCCUCCGGGCCUUCGCUCCAUGAGGGGAUGAGGGGCUGGCGGGGGGGGGGGAGCCCCCCUCAGCGGCAGGGCUGCAGUUCUUGAUGUUUUUUUUUUUUUUUCUAUUGAAAGCAUCGGUUAAAAUGGGUCGGGGGAGCAAUAAUAAGGAAGGAAGUGAAGGAACGUCCGUGUGGGCGCUGGGGUACGGUCCCUGCUCGGCUGUGAGCAGUGCUCGCCGCAGGGAAGUCCUGCUGGGGGGAAUUGGUUGCGCCUCCUAGGAGACCUGAGGAAAAUGCUGCCCUUGUUACUGCCGCCCGUAGCUCUUAGGAGAAGCUUGGAAUUAAAUAGAUGCAGGGUUUUCUUUCAAAAUGUGCUCCUGAAUAAAUUAGUUUGCAUCCAGAAGUGGCAUCUGUUUCCCUUGGCUCAGAUACUUUUUGCAAGAUUUUAGGUACGCAGCUCACGUUGAAGCUUGGUGCCCGAUACCUGAGCGGUUUUGAAAAUCAGAACUAAAACAGGAAUACUUCUGGGCUGUGGGGUCAGUAACCCUGGGAGAGGGAGGGACAGACACUUAGACAUCACAUCUCAUGCGCGGAAAACUAAGUAUUUAGAGGAGCUAAGUGGCCUGCUAUCUAGUAAUUCCUGCCAUUCCACAGCAAACCUCUUUUAUACUUGAGGACUGAAGCAGCUGAAAACACUGGACACGUCUCUUUCUGUUGGAGGUCACUUGCUGAUUUAUCUCCAAUUCACAACUCAUUAGAAGAGAUCAGUUGAACAGAGGUCUUGGGAGCUGUUACCUGCUCAGACUUUAGUGAGAACUGCCAACAUGCAUUUGCCUGAGUUACCUCAGUGGUGGAGAGGAGAGGAUGAAUUCCAAACACAUCAUCCAGACUUCACAAGUCUGCAGAGAUCUCCAAAGUGAACUUCUCCAUCUGCGUUAGAAUUGCUGGUGUUGCAUCUGAUGCCCUGUUUCAGCGAUAUUGGCACCACCAGAAGGCUCAGAAGUGUAGAUUCUAAUCAAAAAUUUUGAGAUAUACUUCAGUCUUGCCUUGGAACAAUUAUUGCCUGAUCACUCAUGGGAGGAGCACAUCCCUAACAAAUGCUCCAAAUGUUGUGGCUUCCGUCAUCAAGGCUGGGAAGACCAAAAGGAGAGGCUGCGAAGCAACCUUCUGGCAGUACUUCUGUGCUCCUUCCACCUUGCAUCUGAACCUCAGGAGAAUCUAUGUGAUGAGUGGGGCACACAGUGCUCCAUUGUUUUGAGCUCCUCCAAACUCUGAAUUUUUUUUAACUCUGCAAGCUCUCAGUUUAUGAAACAUAUUAUGGCUGAAGAUAUAAAGAAGACAUUAAAGCUUUUGCCCACUUACAGCUAUUACUCUGGAGACAAACACAAGUAAGAAGACAAAUGUUAUGAGCUACCUGUUGUCUAUGAAAACGGAAAGACGCUCACAGCCCCCAAAAAGCUUACUUUCCUGAAAGUAAGAAGAACUUUCCUGAAGAACUGUAGCCACAGUGUUUCAUGUUCGCCUCUAGGGAGAAGAAGAGGGAAGGAAAAAGCUACAUGUGACAGAUGCUAAUUAUGCAGCUUAAUGCACUUCUGGAAGUUGCAGAGAUGAGAACUAUGUAAGAACCUAUCUGAAAAACAGAAAGCGUAUUUUCAAUAACAUUUUUUCCUUUUUUUUUUUAAUUUGCCUCCUCCCUCUUUUUUUAAGGAGGCUUUAUUUCUCAAAUAGCAUGUACUGUAGGCAAAGGGCAAGCUAUGUCUCAAGUCCAAAAUUUUCCAUAAAUGCAUAUGACUGUUAUCUGCUGUGUCUUAAUGUUAUUUAGUGCCGUGCAUGUAAUUAGGAAAGCUGGUGACUUGAAGGUUCUGUAACUCAGAUAUGACACAGGAAGGGAAUGACUCUUAAAACAAAUCUGUAGUUGAUUUGUUAGUUUUGUUUCCUCUUUCAUCAGUGUUUUCCUCAUUCAUCAUCCUGUAUUUAUGUUUACUGGAGAAAUUAUGUUCUGUGCUUGACUGUGCUGGGGUCCUGCAUAGGUAUUUAUUGUGAUUAAUAUGUAAGUACUAAUGAACCGGAUCUCAAAAUGCACUUUACAAAUAGGUAAACUGAGACCUAGAAGCUGGGUUCCUCAAAACUGUGAAGUGAAUCGGUGCCAAAACGUGUGUUACACACUAGAUUAAUCUUCUCCUCCAGACACUGAAGUGUACUGUUUCAGGCAAAAGAAGUGGAUUCUCAGCUAAUGAAAAUUUGGUGUCAUCCUGAAAUCAAGGGGAAGAUGCAAGAGUACAUUUGUUAUGCAUCUAGCCCACAGUGUCAUUUGACUGGAUUUCCGUUCCCUCUGCCAAACCCCAGUUUUACCAAAAGAUGCCUUUUCCUCUUAGAGAGAAAACCGUACUGGUUCUUGUGUACUAAUGCCGAAUGUUGCUUUCUUU